AGCACUUCAAGUGAAACGUGCAAGGACAAUACAGACAGGAUCCAUCACAAUACCAUCUAUCGCCUUAUCCACGGCUUUGCAAAAAGGACAUUGAUUUUAGACGGAGUUAAUUAAGCGAUCUGUUAGGACGACCAAUCAGAGGAAGCACACAUUCUCUCGUGUCUUGACACAUUAGCUCCCGUGAAGUAUCCGGAACAAUGGUAAAACAACAAAAGAACCUGUCUACUCAUUGAAGGACCCAUCCUUAGGCACGUGCCUAAUAAUACCACGCACUGUCUGCUAAACGCUUAGCUUGUCAAGGGGGGCCAGACAGACAGUCGACGACAGUACACAAGUGAUAAAAGAUGGUAAGGCAGAAAAUUUAUUACAUUUUUUUAGACGACUGGUAGGUCCUGCUUAUCGCUGAUCGAGCGAUUGACAACCAAUAAAAAAAACCAUUUAAUUGAAAUAUGGUUUCACCUACUUGUCAAAGCAAGAAAUUAGUCAAUUGCGCGAACAUUUGACGCAGGUGAAUGAAAGGACUGGGUUCAAGUGGGUAUAAACGAUAGAAAUCGAGAUACGGAGAAAUUAAUUAGAUCGUCCAAAAAGUGUUGACCUUUCGUCUGUAUGUGAACAAUAAAUUAUCUCCCGCCAGAGUGUCUGUAGAGCAAUCUUCUGAAUUUGAAAGAAUUUAUAGUACGAGUUUUCACCCUAAUGUGAUGAAAAAAUGUCUGCUAAAAUAAAAUCCCCACGAUAGGGCAACACAAGAUCAAUAAUGUGCGUGUACAGCAGAGGUGAAAACAAGAACACAUUUAGACGUCCCAUAAAGAUCAGAAUUUAUAAAGGUUUCACGAAUCAUCAAGAAAAACUUCACCUGUGGUACGAACAGUCACAAGUGCCGAAGACUACAAGUAUGAUAGUAUCAUAUCUGAAUCCCCUAAUCAAUUUAGAGACACGGCUCCCAGUUUGCCUAUGAUAGAGCAAUGAUGAAGGCAAAAAACACUUCUUUUCGUGACCUGAUUGAAAAGACAAACGAAUAACACAUCGCUGUUUGUGUCAAUAUGUGGUUAAGAAGGGUUCUAUUUGUACUCACUCGUGGAUGCUCCAAGACAGGUCCCUCAAGUUCCUCUGAGUUGAGCACGAAUGCGAACCCCUACAAAAAGACCAUAAGCCUUCAGAAAUAGCGCAACUUGAAAACAGAAUGGGCUAUUUACAUUACAACACCUAUGUAGCUCGGUACCUCCACGCAAAUCCUAAAGCACUCUAGCAAGGAUAUUUUCCAAUUGCUUUGUCUAUAUAAUCCCUGUUCUUUCUUGACAAAUGUGAGCAAUAUCAUUCUCUUCCA